rnacentral:rRNA from 1 species
CGGUCAUUUAGAGGAAGUAAAAGUCGUAACAAGGUCUCCGUAGGUGAACCUGCGGAGGGAUCAUU